AAGUUUUCGUCCUGCCUUUGUAGAGUCGAGUUGUUUGGGAAUGCACUUUUACGUCCCUGCCCUUUGUAUAGUGGAGUUUUUGGGAAUUGGAGGAUGUCAAAGUCGCCAUUUGUUUCCGUAGGUGAACCUGCGGAAGGAUCAUUAAUUAUGUUAAAGCGCCUUACCUUAGGGUUUCCUCUGGGGUAAGUGAUUGCUUCUACACUGUGAAAAUUUGGCUGAGAGACUCAGACUGGUCAUGGGUAGACCUAUCUGGGGUUUGAUCGAUGCCACUCCUGGUUUCAGGAGUACCCUUCAUAAUAAACCUAGAAAUUCAGUAUUAUAAAGUUUAAUAAAAAACAACUUUUAACAAUGGAUCUCUUGGUUCUCGCAUCGAUGAAGAACGUAGCAAAGUGCGAUAACUAGUGUGAAUUGCAUAUUCAGUGAAUCAUCGAGUCUUUGAACGCAGCUUGCACUCUAUGGUUUUUCUAUAGAGUACGCCUGCUUCAGUAUCAUCACAAACCCACACAUAACAUUUGUUUAUGUGGUGAUGGGUCGCAUCGCUGUUUUAUUACAGUGAGCACCUAAAAUGUGUGUGAUUUUCUGUCUGGCUUGCUAGGCAGGAAUAUUACGCUGGUCUCAGGAUCUUUUUUUUUGGUUCGCCCAGGAAGUAAAGUACAAGAGUAUAAUCCAGUAACUUUCAAACUAUGAUCUGAAGUCAGGUGGGAUUACCCGCUGAACUUAAGCAUAUCAAUAAGCGGAGGAAAAGAAAAUAACAAUGAUUUCCCUAGUAACGGCGAGUGAAGAGGAAAGAGCUUUAAGGUGGAACCCCUUUGGCCAAGCUAAUCCUUUGGGAAUGCACUUUUAGUCCCUCCCCUUUGUAGAGUCGAGUUGUGUGGGAAUGCACUUUUACGUCCCUGCCCUUUGUAGAGUCGAG
rnacentral:rRNA from 1 species